rnacentral:rRNA from 1 species
CCCGCACAAGCGGUGGAGCAUGUGGUUUUAAUUCGACGCAACGCGAAGAACCUUACCCAGGCUUGACAUGCAGGUAGUAGGAACCUGAAAGGGCAACGACCCCGCAAGGGGAGCCUGCACAGGUGCUGCAUGGCUGUCGUCAGCUCGUGCCGUGAGGUGUUGGGUUAAGUCCCGCAACGAGCGCAACCCCCGCCCUCUGUUUACCACCGGGUCAUGCCGGGGACUCUGAGGGGACUGCCAGCGAUGAGCUGGAGGAAGGUGGGGAUGACGUCAAGUCAUCAUGGCCUUUAUGCCUGGGGCUACACACGUGCUACAAUGGCCGGUACAGAUGGUUGCAAACCCGUAAGGGGGAGCUAAUCCCAAAAAGCCGGCCUCAGUUCAGAUUGGGGUCUGCAACUCGACCCCAUGAAGGCGGAAUCGCUAGUAAUCGCGUAUCAGCACGACGCGGUGAAUACGUUCCCGGGCCUUGUACACACCGCCCGUCACACCACGAAAGUCAGAUGUACCUGAAGUCGGUGUGCUAACCCGCAAGGGAGGCAGCUGCCCACGGUAUGUCUGGUGAUUGGGGUGAAGUCGUAACAAGGUAACC